UUGAUGACGUCAGCCCAGUUUCUUGGAAGAGGAAGCUGAUGACAUUUGAUUCUAUUCCAACUGCUUUUGCUGUUGAUAAAAAUCCGUGACAUACAAUAAAGGCGCUCUGCAUUUCUGUGGAGGUGCAGGAAUGGUUUGAUCUGGAGAGUACGAUGUACCCCUGACGUCCCCAAGAGCUGACCUGGGCACCACCAGAAGUAGCUGUAAAGAAGGAACACUUAGUAAAUGCGCGAAACAUCCCUGAGCUUCAGACGAGAGCUGACAAGGGAGGAAUCAAUUAAAAAUACUCAGAGAAACAAACUGCAUUUAUGGAGCACCUUCAUGAAGAUGGUGAACAUCGAUCACAUCAGGCAGAUACACAGUGAAGAAGGUUCAGAACCAGCCUUUGCACAGCCCAUGCUCACUGAGCAAUGCCUCUGAAGGGAGCCCUGACAUGAGGAGUGUGUUUCAUUGCUCCCUUGUGUUGUGCACCGUGAUGGCGAUGAUGGCUAGUACUGGCAGUGCCCUCCCUUUUUCAGAGCCGAUGGUUGACUUGGACCAGUUGCGGAAAAAGAUGGAGAACGAAAGUGACAUCAAACUGUAUUGCCCUGAUGUUAACUAUAUCAAAAAUUGCCAGAGGGAGGCACUGGUGUGUUUCAGAGCUGAACUGAGUGUCUUGGCUUUUGAAUAUGAUGGAAAUUCGAAGCAGGGAGUCACCUAUUUCGUAUUAAAAUUAAGACAAUCUUUCGAUUCGUAUCUCUCUCAUCUGAAUGCAUCGAACAGCUGCCAUCAUUGUGAGUUCUAUGAAGAGAAGCCCCUGACCGAGUUUCUAGCCAGUUUGGAGACAUUUAUGCAGUAUUACAACAAAAAUCAUAACUACAGUGAGUGACAUUCCGAAGGUACCUCACCAGCUGUAAAGGACUGCGGAACAUGUUGAGGUGGUGAGAGGUGCUAUGGAAACCGAACCCCUUUUUGCCCGAAUGGAUUUAAAGAGAAUAGCUUUCCUGUAGACGACGGAGAGAAAGAACAUUCUGGAAUGGAGAUGCUGUUGCUGUUGAUGAUGGCUCUGACACGUAAAUAUUGACCUUCUGUCUCGACAGCAGUUGGCAACAUCGAUUGAGAUGAGCGCAGAUGAUCCCCAACAUGGUGGCUGUGGAACAUGAGAACGCCCAUGAACACAAGGCAAUGCUAUCUGACAGCUGAUUGAGUCGCGACACUGAAUUGUUGUGUUUUAUGAAGUUGCUCAGGACAACAGGUUGAAUCAGUGACUGGCCAAUUGAUCAGUCUCCGUGAUGCGAGCAGCCCUUGCGGAAUUUACAAAUCGCUGUCAAAGGCACCGAAGUCUACUUUUGGAAGAUUGUGUCGCAUGACCCAUGUCCAGGAACAUCCCAUCGCAUGAGAGGAGAUUGAAUGGCAAGCUGUAUAAAAAAAACACCAACGCAAAACAUUGAGGUGACCCAGAUAAUUGAAAGCCAGGAUAAACAUUUUAAAGGUUGAGGCAGCUCCUAACCUAGAGUCAGUAUAGAUUGAUGAACUCGAAGAUAUGGGGUGUAUUGGUGCUACUUAGGACACAGGAAGUAGGGACUCGAUGAGCCAGGACAUCAUAAUGGGAAAGGCCAUUUGGCCCUUCAAACCUGCUCAUGGCUGACCUUCCUGAAGAUCACUUUUCAGCCCAUCCCCAUAUCCCGCGAUAUCUUUAGGAACUAGAAAUUGAUCAAUCUCUGACUGAGCUCUCCAGGAUAGAGAAUUCCUGAAAUUCAACAACCUCUGGAGUGAAGACGCUCCCACUCAGCUCGGUCAUAACCCUUUAAUCCUGAGAUCAUUUAUUGAUGUGAAUGAUUUCGCAUGUUUGAUCUUCAGGACUCGGUUUAAUUUUAGCUGUUUAAAAUAAUUCUGUAGUCCCAAUAAAGACAUUUCAAAAUCAAA